rnacentral:lncRNA from 1 species
UAGAAGACUAUGAUCAAAUCUCCUUGCCAAAAUAUUUAUAGGUCCACUUAGAGCAAUCAAGGUAGCACCAGACUCUUACCAAAUUAUGCAUGAAUAUUACUAGAUCAUUAUGAUGUAUAUACAAUAUUGGAAUAUAUUUUAACUCUAUCUGCAUGCAUUUCCAAUCACUUGGCCUCUUUAUUUUACUAGUAACCUAGUAAUAUCAUGGUAAAUGACUAACCUUUCAUGUAAUUAACUAGAAUUAGUUUUUUUUAAAAAAAAUAUUGCAAUGGAAUUAAAAGUGAUAUGUUGAGAACUUUUGAUGUCAAAUACCUAUAUUGCAAUAGUUAGCUCCCGCC